rfam:Erwinia iniecta strain B120 contig000038, whole genome shotgun sequence.
CAUAGCUGGUGGCGCACUUCUCCCUGACCGGGCGGCGUCGUCAUGCACAUUCUGAGGAACUCAGUGCAGAUACCCAAGCCCGCCGCCAGCGGGCUUUUUUUU